GACGAACGCUGGCGGCGUGCUUAACACAUGCAAGUCGAACGAUGAAGCCGGAGCUUGCUCUGGUGAAUUAGUGGCGAACGGGUGAGUAACACGUGAGUAACCUGCCCUUGACUCUGGGAUAACUGCUAGAAAUGGUAGCUAAUACCGGAUACGACCCUCGGAGGCAUCUCCAGGGGGUGGAAAGAAUUUCGGUCAAGGAUGGACUCGCGGCCUAUCAGCUAGUUGGUGAGGUAAUGGCUCACCAAGGCGACGACGGGUAGCCGGCCUGGGAGGGUGACCGGCCACACUGGGACUGGGACACGGCCCAGACUCCUACGGGAGGCAGCAGUGGGGAAUAUUGCACAAUGGGCGCAAGCCUGAUGCAGCAACGCCGCGUGAGGGAUGACGGCCUUCGGGUUGUAAACCUCUUUUAGUAGGGAAGAAGCGAAAGUGACGGUACCUGCAGAAAAAGCACCGGCUAACUACGUGCCAGCAGCCGCCGUAA
rnacentral:rRNA from 1 species